UACGUAGGGGGCUAGCGUUGUCCGGAAUCAUUGGGCGUAAAGAGCUCGUAGGCGGUUUGUCGCGUCUGCCGUGAAAGUCCGGGGCUCAACUCCGGAUCUGCGGUGGGUACGGGCAGACUAGAGUGAUGUAGGGGAGACUGGAAUUCCUGGUGUAGCGGUGAAAUGCGCAGAUAUCAGGAAGAACACCCGUGGCGAAAGCGGCUCUCUGGAACGGUACUGACGCUGAGACGCGAAAGCGUGGGGAGCGAACAGG
rnacentral:rRNA from 1 species